GUCGAGGGGCAGCACAUGAAGUAGCAAUACCGAUGGUGGCGACCGGCGCACGGGUGAGUAACACGUAUGCAACCUACCUUCAACAGGAGAAUAACCCGUCGAAAGACGGACUAAUACUCCAUAACACAGGGAUCCCACAUGGGAAUAUUUGUUAAAGAUUUAUCGGUUGAAGAUGGGCAUGCGCUCCAUUAGCUAGUUGGUGAGGUAACGGCUCACCAAGGCAACGAUGGAUAGGGGAACUGAGAGGUUUAUCCCCCACACUGGUACUGAGACACGGACCAGACUCCUACGGGAGGCAGCAGUGAGGAAUAUUGGUCAAUGGAGGCAACUCUGAACCAGCCACGUCGCGUGAAGGAUGACGGCCCUACGGGUUGUAAACUUCUUUUGUAAGGGAAUAAAGUUAGUUACGUGUAACUAUUUGCAUGUACCUUACGAAUAAGGAUCGGCUAACUCCGUGCCAGCAGCCGCGGUAAUACGGAGGAUCCAAGCGUUAUCCGGAUUUAUUGGGUUUAAAGGGUGCGUAGGCGGAAGAUUAAGUCGGUGGUGAAAUUUUGCAGCUCAACUGUAAAAGUGCCAUUGAUACUGGUUUUCUUGAGUAUGGAUGAAGUAGGCGGAAUUUGUGGCGUAGCGGUGAAAUGCAUAGAUAUCACGAGGAACUCCGAUUGCGCAGGCAGCUUACUAAGCCAUAACUGACGCUCAGGCACGAAGGCGUGGGGAUCAAACAGGAUUAGAUACCCUGGUAGUCCACGCAGUAAACUAUGAUUACUCGCUGUUUGCGAUACACAGCAAGCGGCUUAGCGAAAGCGUUAAGUAAUCCACCUGGGGAGUACGUUCGCAAGAAUGAAACUCAAAGGAAUUGACGGGGGCCCGCACAAGCGGAGGAACAUGUGGUUUAAUUC
rnacentral:rRNA from 1 species